rnacentral:rRNA from 1 species
AUGAAGCAUUGUGUCGAGCAGCUUGUGCGCAACGAGCCAUCUCUGCCGAUGCAAGUCAAGAGCUCCAUGGGCAAGGCGAAGGGGAAGCAGCGGCAGGACGAGUACUACCACCUCGCCAAGGAGCAGGGCUACCGGAGUCGCGCGGCCUUCAAGCUGCAGCAGCUCGACGAUCGCUUCUGGUUCCUCCCGCCGGCGCGCGCCGUGCUCGACCUCUGCGCGGCGCCGGGGGGCUGGAUGCAGGUGGCCGUCGCCCGUGCCCCCGCCGGCGCCUUCGUCGUCGGCGUCGACCUCGUGCCCAUCCGCCCCAUCCGCGGCGCGCGCCGUGCUCGACCUCUGCGGGGCGCCGGGGGGCUGGAGCACGCACGCACACAAUCACAGAGAACUCACGUUGGCAUCCAAAUUGACGAGUGUUGA